rnacentral:lncRNA from 1 species
GUGUGUUUCUUUGGGGAACCUGCGCUGGAGUCUCCGCGGACACGCUGCGCCGCCCUGCCAGGCACGGCCGGAAACACUCGGGCAUACAAACAAAUACGAGUGGCUGCUAACGUGAACCAUGCCGCCGUGC